ACAAAUUUGAAUAGACCAUGAAGAUUUUAGAAUGAGUCCCAAAAGACCGCUUUUGAGUUAUUGCUGUCAACAGUAGUAAGACUAGAGCAAAACGGAAGAAAAAAAAGUCAAGCACAAAUCAAGACGAGGUAGCACAAAACCGGCAAGACUAGGGCAGUGUUUGGGGAAGGUAAUCUGAGAGGGUACAAAAAGAUCCUCGUCCUGUACACCAACUAUGCGGCAGGCAAAGGAAACCGGAGAAGACAAACUGGAGAAAGAUGGAGAGUUGGUGAUGUCCAAAGUGUUCUACCAAACGCAGCCCAAACAGUGUGGAUCCUCCUCGUCAUCAAGCUCAAAACAACCGCAGUGUUCUACUAUAAUCCUCCUUUCAUUUCCUCGUACCAUAUCGGAAGCCAUAACCCAGAUACCCAAUUAACCUCAUCAGCUAAUCCCCACUUCGGUUGUUCAUGCUGAUACUUCAUCCUUCAUUAAUCUCUCUUAAAAUUCAAGUAAAGACAAAUGAAAAAGAAAAAUUACUUUAUAGGGUGGUGAUGGCUUGGUGACUUGUUGUGUGCCAUAGUAGCUUUAGCUUACACAAGAAAUUCAAGAAACAGAGGAGGUGGAAGUGGCGUAUGUUGGGCAGAGGCAUGUUGAGAGAAUGAGAGGUGCAGCAGACUUUCUUGUCAAGCCCGUAAGGAAGCCGUUUCGAUCUGCAACACCGGUGUCGGAAAAACCUCACCGGUGCGAGCAAUGGGCCAGUAAAGCUGAGGGAGGCUAGAAUCGCUCAAAUCAGAACCGGACGGGCUCUCGGAGCUCACAUAAAACCCGGAAACACUCCCCCCACCCCCCCCCCCCCCCCUCUCC